AUGGUGGCUGAGCCCACCGCUCUCUGUCCUUCCUCCCCAGGGCUGCGGGCGGCCGAGACGUUGGACGAGUCCGGAGGGGGCCUCGUGAAGCCCGGGGGGUCCCUGACCCUGGUCUGCAAGGGCUCCGGCUUCACCUUCAGCAGCUACGCCAUGCAGUGGGUGCGACAGGCACCCGGGAAGGGGCUCGAGUGGGUCGCGGGUAUUGAUAGCUAUGGUAGCACAUACUACGCGUCGGCGGUGAAGGGACGCUUCACCAUCUCCAAGAACAACGGGCAGAGCACGCUCACCCUGCAGAUGAACAGCCUCAAGGCCGAAGACACCGCCACCUACUACUGCGCGAAAAGUGCUCGCAGUGGUUAUGGUGCUAGUAGUGGUUGGGGUUGUGGAGCAGACAUUGAUCUCUGGGGCCACGGGACCGAGGUGACCGUCUCCUCCGACACCCCCCGCGGCCCCACCCUCUUCCCGCUGGUCACCUGCAGCUCGUCCUCCUCGUCGCUCUACGCCGUGGGCUGCGUAGCCGUGGGCUACGUCCCCAGCGGCGUCACCUUCUCCUGGACGGACGCGACCAACAGCAGCGUGGCCGCCGCCGCCACCGCCGCCUUCCCAGAAGCCCGCGGGGCCGGGGGCAACAUGGCCGCCAGCCGGCUGGAGCUGCCGCUGCAGGAUGGGAAGGGGCGGCAGCCCUUCUACUGCCGCGCCGCCCACCCGCGGGGCAACGCCGUGGUGGCAGUCCGCAACCCCCGCUUCCCUGUCGUCCCCAUCACCCCGGUCCUCUCCAUCCACCCCCCGUCCCGCGAGGACUUCGAGGGCCCCUACAGGAACUCCAGCCUCCUCUGCCGCGUCCACGGGCCUCGCAGCCUCACCGCCGUCUCCUGGCUGAGGAACGGCGCCCCCGUCACCUCCGGCGCCGUCACCACCGGCGCGGUGACCGACGGCACCGGCGCCUACGUCACCGACAGCCACCUGAGCGUCACCGAGGCCGAGUGGGACGCCGGCACCAUCUACACCUGCCAGGUGGAUGGGGAGAUGAGGAACACCAGCAAGUCCCUGGAGUGCGGCUUAGAUAAACCCGAGAGCAGCGACAUCACGGUCCGCGUGCUCCCCCCGUCCUUCGUGGACAUCUUCAACGAGAAGGUGGCCAAGCUGACCUGCAAGGUGAGCAACCUGCCCACCGUGGAGGGGCUGGUCAUCUCCUGGUUCAAGGAGGACGGGCAGAAGCUGGAGACCAAGACCAUGCCCCGCGUCCUCCAAGCCAACAGCCUCUACUGGGUGGAAGGGGUGGCCAGCGUCUGCGCCGACGAGUGGAACAAGGAGGAGGUCUACACCUGCAAGGUCAGCCACCCCGAGCUGCUCUUCCCCGUCGAGGAGAAGCUGCAGAAGGCCACCGAGCGCGACGCCAAGCCCCCCGCCCUCUACGUCUUCCCCCCUCCUCCGGAGCAGCUCAGCGCCCACGAGACCGCCACCGUCACCUGCUUGGCCAAGGGCUUCAACCCUCCGGACCUCUUCAUCCGCUGGCUGCGCAACGGCGAGCCCUUGCCGGCCUCUGACUACGUCACCAUGCCGCCCGCCGCCGAAUCGCAGUCGGCGCGCUCCUACUUCACCUACAGCGCCCUCAGCGUGGCCACCGACGACUGGGGGGCCGGCAACGUCUUCACCUGCUUGGUCGGCCACGAGCGGUUGCCCUUGCAGGUGGCCCAGAAGUCGGUGGACAAGUCCUCGGGUAAACCCACCUCGGUCAACGUCUCCCUGGUGCUCUCCGACACCGCCAGCUCCUGCUAUUAA